rnacentral:rRNA from 1 species
GACGAACGCUGGCGGCGUGCUUAACACAUGCAAGUCGAACGGAAAGGCCCUGCUUUUGUGGGGUGCUCGAGUGGCGAACGGGUGAGUAACACGUGAGUAACCUGCCCUUGACUUUGGGAUAACUUCAGGAAACUGGGGCUAAUACCGGAUAGGAGCUCCUGUUGCAUGGUGGGGGUUGGAAAGUUUCGGCGGUUGGGGAUGGACUCGCGGCUUAUCAGCUUGUUGGUGGGGUAGUGGCUUACCAAGGCUUUGACGGGUAGCCGGCCUGAGAGGGUGACCGGCCACAUUGGGACUGAGAUACGGCCCAGACUCCUACGGGAGGCAGCAGUGGGGAAUAUUGCACGAUGGGCGGAAGCCUGAUGCAGCAACGCCGCGUGCGGGAUGACGGCCUUCGGGUUGUAAACCGCUUUCGCCUGUGACGAAGCGUGAGUGACGGUAAUGGGUAAAGAAGCACCGGCUAACUACGUG